AUUGAACGCUGGCGGCAGGCUUAACACAUGCAAGUCGAGCGGGGUGAUGGUGCUUGCACUAUCACUUAGCGGCGGACGGGUGAGUAAUGCUUAGGAAUCUGCCUAUUAGUGGGGGACAACAUCUCGAAAGGGAUGCUAAUACCGCAUACGUCCUACGGGAGAAAGCAGGGGAUCACUUGUGACCUUGCGCUAAUAGAUGAGCCUAAGUCGGAUUAGCUAGUGGGUGGGGUAAAGGCCUACCAAGGCGACGAUCUGUAGCGGGUCUGAGAGGAUGAUCCGCCACACUGGGACUGAGAACCGGCCCAGACUCCUACGGGAGGCAGCAGUGGGGAAUAUUGGACAAUGGGGGGAACCCUGAUCCAGCCAUGCCGCGUGUGUGAAGAAGGCCUUAUGGUUGUAAAGCACUUUAAGCGAGGAGGAGGCUCUUUUGGUUAAUACCCAGAAUGAGUGGACGUUACUCGCAGAAUAAGCACCGGCUAACUCUGUGCCAGCCGCCGCCGUAA
rnacentral:rRNA from 1 species